CGUAUACAGAGAAAACAACCCCCAAAAACGGACAAUUUUAGAGAACAUCGCCAUCAAGAAAUCCAACGGUAGCAACUUAAACAAGCAAAUCGAAAGUCAAUUUUUACCCGUAGCGUACACCAACAUCAUCUAAAAACAAAAAGUAUGAGACGAAAAAAGCACGCCGCAUUGUAACUCUCCUUACCAAAUAUGACUAUGGUGAACUUCGGUGACCUAUAGUUUGUGACGGACAUUGACAUUGUGAUGUAAAGAAGAAUGAAACGGCUGUGAUAAAGAGUCCGAUAUUCGUUUUGACGAAAAUUCGUUUUAGAAUUUAAUAGUUUUAGUUUUAAGCCAUUGAAAAUGCCAGCGAUACGCGGGCGAAAUAUUUGGUGAAAAUACACACGAAAAAACACUGA